rnacentral:misc_RNA from 1 species
GGUGAGAAGUACAGGUGUUGGACCCUCUGUUUCAGUACAAGAAAUGUCCAAAAGUUCCUUUCAGAUUUUCUCUGCACCAGCAUUCUGUGACCUGUUUAGGAUGGAGGUACAAAAACAGUGAUUCAAGUGUUAAUGUUAUAUCCGUUGUCUGUAGAAUCUGACCAAUCAGGGAAACUGAUUUCAUGUCAUUUAUCAUGUGAUUGAGAAUUAUUGUAGUAGGCUGUGCAAGCUGACGUCAUUGAAGAUACUGAUUUUACUUGUGUGCACAUGAACACUCAGUUUACAUGUCAUAUUUUUGUACAGUAAACGUGUUUAGAAUGCAAGACUAAAAAAGCCAGUUGUUUUCUUCUCUGUCCAGGAAUAAUCGUUUGAAGUGAAGGUUAAACCUGAAUGGAGAGAUUGUCUGUUUUAAUCCUGUAUUCUAUGUUGCUAAAAAUGACGAUGGAAAAAUUUUUCAAAAAAAUUAUUAAAAUAUAUGACAAAUGAAAGUUUGUCGAUAAUG